GACGGAGGAUGCAAGCGUUAUCCGGAAUGAUUGGGCGUAAAGCGUCUGCAGGUGGCAGUUCAAGUAUGCUGUCAAAGACCGGGGCUUAACUUCGGAAAGGCAGUGGAAACUGAACAGCUAGAGUAUGUUAGGGGCAGAGGGAAUUCCUGGUGUAGCGGUGAAAUGCGCAGAUAUCAGGAGGAACACCAAUGGCGAAGGCAGCACUCUGGGACGUGACUGACGCUGAGACGCGAAAGCGUGGGGAGCAAACAGG
rnacentral:rRNA from 1 species